AAACCCUAUUACUUUGAACGGUCAUAUAACUUUGAACAAAAAGCCAUAAAAACAUAUUAUCUCUAACAUCACGCCUAGACAAUUUAUAAUAUCGACAAACACUGUUCGAUACGUUAGACCAAUCAUACACGAAUACAUUCCUUCAGCGCAUUGGACGUUUCGAUUUAUAAUUUAUAUUAUUCAUCCUAAAAACAUUGAACGGUUUCUCUAAAAAUGCCGGUAAAUUUGUAGUGCGAAAACUUUAACUUUAAGCAUCUGACCACACAGUUGUUGUAAAGCCUUUUUUUUUGUAUUUUUUGGGAGCUCUAGGGUCUUAUAAAACUGUAAGUAUAUGGGUAAACUUGAAUUUUGAGGUAUAAUAUUUUUAAAGUUACAUUUUAUAACCUAACCUCUAAAAUUCAAAAACUGCCCAUAACUUUGAACGGCUGUUCAAAGUUAUGGGUGCAUUUUUAAAACAGGGAAGUAAUAUUAAUAUAGGACUUUUUUUUCUUUUAGACUACAUUAAUGUCGGCGGAAAAUCUAAAACGUAAAUACCGGCGCUAUAAUAAUGCCGAAGAUAAAGAAAAUCUUGAAAAGGUGCUGAAUUUGAUAAAAAAUAAAAGAAUUAGCCUUUGUCAGGCGAGUAAACAAUACGGUUUUCCAAAAGGCACAUUGUCCAAUAAGUUAAACAACCGCCACACUGGAAAAAUUGGAAAACCAUUUGUCCUUCCGGUAGAAUUGAAAAAUGCUAUUGUGCAACACGUCCUACUUGUCCUAUCAUACAGGUCCUUACACUUCUGAUCUCAACCUGCCCUCUGCCGAAAAAAGAAAAUUUGUUUCCUUUUAAUUAGUAUCUAACCUAGGUAAUACCUAUUUAUGUUAUUUUUUUAGGUAAUAUAUGAAUAAUUAUGAUUUAGUUGGCGUGAGUGGUAUUUACGGGUAUUUGUUAUUUUUUGUUAACAAAAAAAAUUAAUGUUAUGUUUAUGUUUAAUUAGUACCUAAUCUUUUGUAUCUUUAGGUAAUAUCUAACCUAUGCACCUUUUAUUUGUUCAUUUGAGUUUUGUUAAACAAUUCGUUUAUUUGUUUAUUUCAAAAAAUAUCUAUUAAUAAUUUUAUGAGUGUUUAAUUU